CCCUAUUAUAUGAGGAGUAGGUAGUAAUUUGAGAGUAGGGUACAGCUGAAAACUAUCCAGAAUGGCGGUUUUUUUUAUUUUCAGAAAAAUGUGUUUUUAAAACGAAAUUACACGAAAAUCUUUCCAGCUCUGGAAUCCCAUCCUGUACACCGCCGUCUGAAGGGUCAUUCUAAAAAACUAGCCCUUAUUUCGUUAAUGAAAAUAAGUCAGGUAAGGUGCAGACAAUGGGUUGGAAAAAAUGCAUUUCACUAAAAUGAAACGAAUAAGGAGUUGAAAACUCUUUAUAAGAAGAAUUUGAAAGUAAGAAUUUUUAAUCAAAAAAAUCUGAAUUUAUACCAAAAAAAUGUACACAUCGCCC
rnacentral:rRNA from 1 species